UACGAAGGGGGCGAGCGUUGUUCGGAUUUACUGGGCGUAAAGGGCGCGUAGGCGCCUUGUCAGUCAGGCGUGAAAGCCCCGGGCUCAACCUGGGAACGGCGCUUGGGACGGCGAGGCUGGAGUUCGGGAGAGGAGAGUGGAAUUCCCAGUGUAGAGGUGAAAUUCGUAGAUAUUGGGAAGAACACCGGUGGCGAAGGCGGCUCUCUGGACCGACACUGACGCUGAGGCGCGAAAGCGUGGGGAGCAAACAGGG
rnacentral:rRNA from 1 species